AUGCCCCGUUUCACAGAUGGGAAAACAGGUGCCCGGUCCCAAGUGCAGCUGGUGGAGUCUGGAGGGGAUGUGAAGAAGCCCGGAGACUCUCUGCGCCUCUCCUGCAAAGCCUCCGGCUUCACCUUCAGCAGCUACGGGAUGAGCUGGGUCCGGCAGGCUCCGGGGAAGGGACUGGAGUGGGUCGCUGUUAUCAGUGGUGAUGAGAGCUAUAUACGCUACCUGGAUGCGGUGAAAGGCCGAUUCACCAUCUCCAGGGACAACGGCAACAACCUCCUGCACCUGCAAAUGACCGGCCUGAAGCCCGAGGACACCGCCCGCUAUUACUGUGCAUCCGGCACUUUCACUGAUGCAAACCGGGAUUCAUUGGACUCCUUCCAACGUGGCUCCUGCGCUCCCCUUCCCCCACAGAGACCCGGGUCCAGCUUCCUCGGAGCCACCCGGCCCGGGAGAGAAGGUCCCCCGCGGCCUGGGCUCUGCAGCAAGUCACGCUGA